UAUGUUAUUUUAAUUAGGAAACACAGAAUGUAAGACCCAGUGACAAUAUUCUUUGAAUCUUGCAGAACAUGAUCAUGUGGAGUCUCUCCAGAGAAUACUGACCACAUCCUUCAAAGCUGCAUUCUUUAUUAACUGAAAUGUCUGAACAAAAUCCCCUCUCCUAAAAAAUAUUAACUGAUCUGGUGACCAUUGCACAGUUCAUCUCAAAUAUAGGACUAAUCAUCUCUGCCCCCAAUAUGAACAUGAGAAUACAAAAUAUGGAGAAUGAUUUAGUCAGUAUAAUUUUAUAUUACAUUUUUAUCUAUGGUUGAUAAUUUUGAUUUAAAUUCCUAAUUGUACUCAAAUGUAAAGUUAUCUUCCUUUAGACUUCUAUUAGAAUCUAGUAAGGUGUUCAAGUCAAUGUUAUUUUUUUUUUGUUAGACUAGAUUUUGUUGCUGUGAUUUGGUAGUAUAGACAGCUGUUUUUUGUCAAAGUGUUACAUUAGUAU